rnacentral:rRNA from 1 species
GGUGAACGCUGGCGGCGUGCCUAAUACAUGCAAGUCGAGCGAACAGACGAGGAGCUUGCUCCUCUGACGUUAGCGGCGGACGGGUGAGUAACACGUGGAUAACCUACCUAUAAGACUGGGAUAACUUCGGGAAACCGGAGCUAAUACCGGAUAACAUGUUGAACCGCAUGGUUCAACAGUGAAAGACGGUCUUGCUGUCACUUAUAGAUGGAUCCGCGCCGCAUUAGCUAGUUGGUAAGGUAACGGCUUACCAAGGCAACGAUGCGUAGCCGACCUGAGAGGGUGAUCGGCCACACUGGAACUGAGACACGGUCCAGACUCCUACGGGAGGCAGCAGUAGGAAAUCUUCCGCAAUGGGCGAAAGCCUGACGGAGCAACGCCGCGUGAGUGAAGAAGGUCUUCGGAUCGUAAAACUCUGUUAUUAGGGAAGAACAAAUGUGUAAGUAACUAUGCACGUCUUGACGGUACCUAAUCAGAAAGCCACGGCUAACUACGUG